rnacentral:lncRNA from 10 species
CUUUGAUGCCCUGACAAAUAAUUUUGAGCACUUAUCUGCCAAGUUGAGGCUGUGCCAGAUGUUGUGGACACAGCCCAGAGCAGAGCUGGUGGCCUCACUGCCCUAACAUGUACAAACCUGCAGGGAUGCAAGGUGCCCAGACUGUGCAAAGCAAUGGCAGCUGCAUGGAGUCCAGAGAGAGCACCUGGAGGCCUGGAAGGCUUCCAAAAGAAAGUGCUAUUACAGCAAAUCAUUGUACAGAUGCUGUACUCUGCAGAGGCGCCAGCACUCUAAUUAUCCUGUGGAAGGAUAAUCAAUGCCAGCUGCCAGCUAAAGGAAUGCAAAAUCUCCACUGAGUAACCAAGAGCCCCUGCUGAGACUGACUGGAAGUGAGUUCAAGGAAAUCUUUUUAAUGUUAAAAAUAAGUUUAGGCCGCGUACAGUGGCUCAUGCCUGUAAUCCUAGCACUUUGGGAGGCCGAGGCA